rnacentral:lncRNA from 1 species
GCAGCUAGACAUUUCAUAAAUAGAUAAUUCUCUAAUUGAUCCAGCCAAUCCUACUUUGCAUACCCUGCCAAACUAGACUUUUUAGUGCAGUCCUGAUUUCUGUAUUAAUGAAUUGAGAAGAUGACAUCAGGCUCUUAGAAGGAAGAUGGAGGGGGGCUGGAGCCUGGAAAGGCAAACUGUGUGACAACAACAGCCACCUAGUGAAGGAAAGAGAAACAAGGAAGGUGAGGAAAGAAAGAGCAAAGAGGGUGUAUCCAAGUGUGCUUCUAAU